CGCUUUCCCCCGAACCGGCAGCUGCGCCUCCGAAACCGAGACCGGCGCCCCGAACCGUGAUCCGCGCGGCCUCUCCGGGUGCAGCGAUUCCGCCUUGAUUCGGAUCUCUGCCACCCCCCCCUCCCCCUUUCCCCCCGGACGUUAUCCCCAGCUGCUCUCUGCCAAAGGAGGCGCGUUAUUAUUUAUGAGGCUCGGAGUCCUGGAAAGGCCGGGCGGCUCCUCGUGCCCUGGCUCCGCUUGGGAGUUGGUCCCCUUCCUGGGAAGAGCCCCUGGCACCUCCGCUGCUUGCAGCUGCCGUGUGCGUUGAAUUCCUAAAUAAGCCGCCCUGGGGGUUUGCCCAUAUUCCCACUUUUCCCCCCUGCAAAGGCAAUUAGCAGGAAGCGACACGAGCCAGCCUGAAGGAUGAGUUUGCAACUGAUGGCGUUCGAAGCCGAGGACUGGAGUCCCUGUAAGAUGGCCUUGAAGUUAAGCCUAUAGCACAUGCUUCUCAAAAGGACCUAAAGAGAAGUUUUAACUGGGGCAGCUAUGCCGUGAAGAAUAUUUCUGCAUCAGCAAUUAAGAUCUAAAAGGCUUUAACAAGGUAGGUUUCCUAAGGAAUAUUGAAAAAAACGAAACCCUCCAAGAAAGCAAAGCUUUCUAUUUUAAUGAGAACAAGAUCACAUGGAAAAAUUAGGAACAUUAUAUACACAGUUUAUUUACCUAAUUACCUGUACAGGUUAUAUUUAUUCUGUGAUUUGGAAGGUCACUGAGUAAUAAAAUAAUAUCUAUGUUCGUAAUAGAAGAUACUCUGUUUUAGAAAGUAAAGCAUUUAAAUUACCUAGUUCCAACUUUUUUAAGAUACAAUAUUCACAUUCUAUUUGAUUGAAAACCUCUCUACUCAAAAUUCACAGCAGAUUAUUUUAAAUAUGUGUUAUAGGGUACCAAUAACUGGAUUAUAAUGAAAUCUGAUGUCAUUGAUAUUCUAAUGCUUACAAACAUUAAUUUCAGUUAUUUUAAAAUUCUUUAAAAUUAAUUUAUCUCCCUACAGAAUUGAAACAUAAAAUUUUUAAAACAGUAAGAGUGCUAAUAUUAAACAGAGCAAUACAGAACAGUCUGGAUUCUGCAAAACUUUUAGUAUUUAAGCUGUUUUCUAAAAACCAAUAUUUUAAACAGAAAGAUUAUACACACAUCAUUUAAAAAUUACCUGUGUUCCCUGAACAAUAUAAAAUUUUUAUCUUUUUUAUAAUACAAUAUAUACUAGAUGCAAGAUGCAAACUUCAAGACCUCUCCAUGCCCGGCAGAAAUGCACAACAAUCAAUUUAUAGAAAAGGCAUGUCUUGUAACUUCGCAGCAACAAACACACUGCUCUAAUUCAAAUAAAAUGUAAUUAUGAAAAAAAA